GGACGGGUGGCCGAGUGGUUGAAGGCAGCGGUCUUGAAAACCGUCAGGGGCGUGAGUCUCUCGGGGGUUCGAAUCCCUCCCCGUCCGCCA
rnacentral:tRNA from 1 species